AACAAAUAUCAUUCACUUCCCAAAGCAGCUCAAAAGCUUGGAUCUUACAUAGUCUUUUUUUGGUAACACUAUUGUCCCGAGUCUCAGCACAUACAACAAUGGGAUUCCACUUACCUGGUAUGAGAAAGGCAUNGUAACACUAUUGUCCCGAGUCUCAGCACAUACAACAAUGGGAUUCCACUUACCUGGUAUGAGAAAGGCAUCUUCAAAAGGUAUGGAUGUGGCAAAGGGUCACCUUGCAGUUUAUGUUGGAGAGAAAAUGAAGCGGUUUGUAAUCCCGGUGUCAUUCUUGAACCAACCUUUAUUUCAAGACUUGUUGAGUCAAGCAGUAGAAGAAUUUGGGUAUGAUCACCCAAUGGGUGGGCUUACAAUUCCUUGCGGAGAGCAUGAGUUCUUGGAUAUCACUUCUCGCUUGAUGGGGUGCUAAUCCAUGAAGAUGAAACUCAUGAAAAUGUAUAGACACAAUUUUUUGUAGCAUAUUUUCUUACCUUGAAAAAUUCUGUCCAUUUUUGUUAUCUAUGUGGGGACAGUAUAAAAACUUUAUGAGAAAUUUCGUACAUGAAGUGUUUUCUCACAUAUAUUCUUCAUCUGUCAUUUUGAUCUACGUAGUAGUUGUUGAAUAAGAAAUUAGCUAGUUGUCGCCAACCAAUUAAUUCUUAAUGUAUAAAAUUUACAUUCAACUAUCAUAUCUCUACAUUAUAGAAGUUCAAUAAAAAGAAAACACCCACAUUAUAAGAGAAAGGAAAAGAAGAUGAGUUUAAAACAAAGAGAACAAGUAAUCGAAAUAACAAGUACAUGUCAACAUGAACUUCUUUGAUUUCAAUCGUGCUUCAAAAUUUUUGGUUACAGUCCAUGGUAACUGAAUCUGAAAUAUGGCCUGUGAACCAAUUCUCUGUGAACCACAAAUGAGGGAGG
rnacentral:lncRNA from 1 species